rnacentral:tRNA from 1 species
GCAGUGGUGGUUCAGUGGUUGAAUUCUUGCCUUUCAUGCCGGAGACCUGGGUUCAAUUCCCACCAAUGCA